rnacentral:rRNA from 1 species
GUUAUACAACUUUCAACAACGGAUCUCUUGGCUCUCGCAUCGAUGAAGAACGCAGCGAAAUGCGAUAACUAAUGUGAAUUGCAGAAUUCAGUGAAUCAUCGAGUCUUUGAACGCACCUUGCGCCCUUUGGUAUUCCAAAGGGCAUGCCUGUUUGAGUGUCAUUAA